CUACUUAAAACGACACUGGCUCAGAGAAAACCAUCAAGGGACAGAGAGAGACCAAGAUUUGGAGACAUUGUUUGAGCCUCUUAGUCUAUGUUAAUGGAAGCUAGACCUUCUAGUUAAGAGAAGCAGUUAAUUUCCCCAAUUGGCAUAAAUCAGCUAUUUACAAACUAAAGAGUCUCAGUUAAUACAGGUCACAUAUUGAGAGAUGCUUAUAAAUAUACAUAAAAUUGCUUAGUCAGAUUUAAAACGAGAAUCUUAUUGCGAACACAAUAGUCAUCAUAGCUGGCAUUCACUGAGGGCUUAGUGCCAAGACUUGUACAAAGCAUUUUUAAUACUUUUCCUGAAUAAAUCAUUAAGGCCACCCUGUGCCAUGCAUAUUGUCACUGUCUCUAUAAUCAUCAUCAUCCUCUCCAGCAUCUGUUGUUUCCUGACUUUUUAAUGAUCACCAUUCUAACUGACAAAAAAUGUCACAUUUCUUUAUAUCCCUAUAACAAAAUUCAAUCUGCUCUGAGCCUUCCACCUUGACUCACAGUUUCUAAGUCAGGUGUGCACAAAUGUGUUUUUCCUUACUUGUAAAUAAUUAAACUGAACUCUUGAGGUUCCAUUUUCACUCAGAGCUGUGAGACCAAAUCUUUCUGUUCCAAGGAAUUCCAUCAUAUCUGGUUUAAAAUUCUGUCUCUUUUUGGGUGGGGGUCAAUUUUUUUUCUGCACCCUUUCUCCUUCCCUUUUUGCCGGGGGAUGUAAGUUCCUGCAGGGCUUAUGCAUCCUUCUAGCAUGCAGGAUGGGACCCCUGGUUUGUGUCUUUCUCUGUCCUUGUUGGUGUUUCCUAAAUGUAAUUGCUGAGGAGGUAUUUUAAAAAUUGAGGCGACAUUCAUAUAAGUGUACAAAAUUGGCCGUUUUAAAGCAUUCAAUUUGGUGGAUUUAGUACAUUUACAGUGUCCCCCAGGACUUUGGUGACGCCCUUCCACAUCAGGGUGGAGGAAGAAGUUGCUUCUGACUUAAGCGUCACUCUCUUUUCCUGACCUCUUGAGCAGUCACUAAUUGGGGGUGGUACCACCCAAGGGCUGUUUGGAAAUGCACAGGAUGGUUUUGGUUGUCAUAGUGACUGGAGGAGCUGCUGCAUCUAGGCCUUGAGCCCAGGAGGGCAAACUGUCCUGCCACGAGUGUGGCAGCUCUGCAGGGUCAAGAACUAUCUGGUGAUGGCAGAGGUGCCUGGUAGAAACAACAUGGGGAAUUUUAUCCACAAUGUCUGCCCUUUGCAGCAGACAUCCACCCCUACCCCCACCACCGCAGGGAUCAACAGUGCCCUGGCCGAGAACUUGCAGUCUUCAGAAACAAAGCAGCCGCAAGACCUCCGGUCAGGCUCACGUUUCCCAGUCCCCGUAGAACUUCUCUUCUGCUGGCUUUUGCUGGCAUUUCUCUUCCAUGCUGUUCAGAUUCCUCAGGCUGUAUAAUUAUUACCUCAUUUGGAGGUUCAGAAUCCAAUUGUCUGAGCAAGAGA
rnacentral:lncRNA from 1 species